GGGCGCAUGGUCUAGUGGUAUGAUUCUUCUUUAGGGUGUUUCGACGCAAUUUAGAAGAGGUCCUGGGUUCAAUUCCCAGUGCGCCCC